AGUGAACGUUGGCGGUAGGCCUAACACAUGCGAGUCGAACGGCAGCACAGUAAGAGCUUGCUCUUACGGGUGGCGAGUGGCGGACGAGUGAGGAAUACAUCGGAAUCUACUUUUUCGUGGGGGAUAACGUAGGGAAACUUACGCUAAUACCGCAUACGACCUACGGGUGAAAGCAGGGGAUCUUCGGACCUUGCGCGAUUGAAUGAGCCGAUGUCGGAUUAGCUAGUUGGCGGGGUAAAGGCCCACCAAGGCGACGAUCCGUAGCUGGUCUGAGAGGAUGAUCAGCCACACUGGAACUGAGACACGGUCCAGACUCCUACGGGAGGCAGCAGUGGGGAAUAUUGGACAAUGGGCGAAAGCCUGAUCCAGCCAUACCGCGUGGGUGAAGAAGGCCUUCGGGUUGUAAAGCCCUUUUGUUGGGAAAGAAAAGCAGCAGGUUAAUACCCCGCUGUUCUGACGGUACCCAAAGAAUAAGCACCGGCUAACUUCGUG
rnacentral:rRNA from 1 species